GAUGAACGCUAGCUACAGGCUUAACACAUGCAAGUCGGGGGGAAACGACAUCGAAAGCUUGCUUUUGAUGGGCGUCGACCGGCGCCCGGGUGAGUAACGCGUAUCCAACCUGCCCACCACUUGGGGAUAACCUUGCGAAAGUAAGACUAAUACCCAAUGAUAUCUCUAGAAGACAUCUGAAAGAGAUUAAAGAUUUAUCGGUGAUGGAUGGGGAUGCGUCUGUUUAGCUUGUUGGCGGGGUAACGGGCCACCAAGGAGACGAUCAGUAGGGGUUCUGAGAGGAAGGUCCCCCACAUUGGAACUGAGACACGGUCCAAACUCCUACGGGAGGCAGCAGUGAGGAAUAUUGGUCAAUGGGCGAGAGCCUGAACCAGCCAAGUAGCGUGCAGGAUGACGGCCCUAUGGGUUGUAAACUGCUUUUAUAAGGGAAUAAAGUGAGCCUCGUGAGGCUUUUUGCAUGUACCUUAUGAGUAAGGACCGGCUAAUUCUGUGCCAGCCGCCGCAGUAA
rnacentral:rRNA from 1 species